ACCAUAAAGUUAUAAUAUGAAUAAUUCUUCCAGUUAAAAGCCCUGAACCUUUUCUGAUUGCAGAACACAAGGUGGGAGAGAAAGUGAAGGGGUAGGACACGGGGGUUUAAAGAAGACAAAGGCAACCACUGUGACAAGCAUCUCUUAUCAGAGAGCUGAUAUUAAAAAUCUGCAGUAUCAGAAAGGCCUUAUUUUACUGCUCAGGCCGAGGGGUUCUCUAACUUUUCUUGAUAGGAUGUUACUUUGGAUUCCUUCAAAGCCUUAUAACCUGGGCUGAGGGAAGAAAGCGUUUUGAUAAGAUGAUUGAUCCCCAUGCCUAGGGGUAUGUUUCAUAUAUAUUAGGUGUGUUAGGUUCACGUCAGUGGGUGUUUGCUGUUGAAAUUUGUCGAAUUCAAUAAAACUCCUGCUGGGAUAGCAGCAAGUUUAGAGAAACAUAAGAGUAAAAGUCUGUUUGGGAUUGAGAGUAAAAAAUCAGCUCAGAGGGAAAAAGAGCAAAGUCACCUGCGUUUAUUCAGGUUAGUAGUAUGACAGACACAGAUAAUCCCAGCUUGAACUUAAAUGGAGACACUGCCAAGGUCAUGCAGCAGCUGGCAAAUGCACAAAUGACCCCUUCAUUGAGUGGCUAGUGCUGUGUUACCAGUGCUACUCCAUACUUGCUUACACUUCCCAUCUUUUACUAGGAACACCCAAUUGCUAAGCUACUCUCCCCUCGAGACGGCUCCCAACCCUAGUUAAUUCCUGAUACUCCUGCCCUCAUCUUAGAAACAGCAACUGAUCCAAAACUGAUUGCUUCUUCCCUUAGACCUUCCUCUGGAUUCUUCAGUAAGAGCUCAAACCUUACAUAAGAUGUUCCUCCUUCUCACUCGAGAGGUGUUCCACAACUGCUCUGGGAUUGCCUCACAUUCUCAGACUGACUUCUCAAGGUAGACAAGAGAGUCAAGUUCACAAUCAUACAUUCUCAAGAUCAAAGAGAUGAUAUUUUUUUUACUCCAAUUCCAGUGAGAAAACUCUCAAGGAAAGAUUCUUAUUUGCAAAGUCUGAGUCAUAUACGUACUUUCAGACCAAUACUGUGGCUGAAUUAGUGCAUUUGUGUGAUUGAACUAGCUGGGAACAUGUUCCCAUCCCUCAACCAAUCACUGUGGCCAAGGAGGAGGGUCGCUUAAGAAGACAUCAACACUUUCUGAUCUCAGGACUUAACACUUAAAGGAUGUGAAACCAUUGAGGCAAAAACAAAUACUUCAAAAUUUGUCUUGACUACUGGGAUUUUACAGAAUGUCUGAGACAAAACAAUUAUAGAUUUGUUAUUGGUUAAUUCAUUUCUGGAAUUUCUAUCUUAUAUGUCUCUCCUCCCUUUCAUAUUUUCUUUUUCAUGAUUCCCCCCCACCCUUUUCCUGAUUCCCACCCGAUUUUUUACCCUUGACUAGAAACUGGUAUAGAAUUUGGAAUAAAACUUCUGUAACUCAGUGAGGUUAAUGUUAAAAUUUUCUUUGGGCCAUAUAUCAGAAUUUUUAUUUUUAUAAAUUGUCUAAUGCUUAUUAAGAAUUAAAAGACGUAUCUCUUUAAAAAGUUAGUUGGCUCUGCUUCAAAUAGGUCUCUUGGGGAAAAUGCUGUUACAGUUUUCAAUUUUAAAUCCAUUAUUAUAAGCAUAACUACCUGCCUUUGACAAAAUGGAGUUAUGGAUAUUUACCCCAAUCGGUUUUAAGAGUUUCUGGAAAAGAAAACAAAAGAGAAAUCAGAAAAUAAGAUGGAUUUUUUCUUUGAGAUAAGAAGACUUUUUAUAUUUGAUGAUUUUUUUGGCCUUUGAUAUCUAUUAUAUUAUAGUGUCUAUGUGUAUCAGCUUGCUUAUUCUGUGUUUGAGAAUUUUAUCUCCUUAUGCUUCUUUGAGAUAGCAAAAUACUAAGCUAUGUGAA